rnacentral:lncRNA from 1 species
CACAGGGACACUUUGGAUUUCGGAUUGGAAUGAUGUUAUGCUUGUACUGUGGAGGACUACUCAUUCAAGCAGAUUAUUGAGGAAUUGCACUCUCCUAUGCCUUGGACUAAGCCCUUAGUCACUAAUGAACCUGCCCCUCAUUUGAUGGAACCGGAAUUCGCAGAUCCUGCACCCCCAGCAGUUCCACACCCUGCCAUGGCCAUCCUCCUCUAAACUCCAACCUCCUUCCUGCACUCUUCAAACCGCAUAGAGCAGGCCCAGGCAUUCACAUGGAUCCGCAGUCACUUGGAAGAGGACAGUGAGAUCUGUGUGCCUAAGCAUGAGGUCUAUGAUGAUUACAGGCUGUACUGUGAAAGUCAUAAUCUGAAGCCCCUUUGUCCAGCUGAUUUUGGGAAGGUCAUGAAAUGCGUUUUUCCAAAUGUCAAGCCACGUCGCCUUGGGCAGCGAGGACAAUCAAAAUAUCCUUUGAAAGAGACCUACCACUCAAAAUCAUUUUAAACCCACAGUCACAAUAUUAUGAGAGCACAUUGGCAUGAAUUAGAUCAGUACAAAUGACUGUUUACAAGGCUUGAUACAGUCUCACGACCGUACACACCCAACAAUACAUGUGGGCCAGUUACAAAAACUGUUCUCUUGCCCUGACUUGCCCUGUCAUUAUGGGCAUUGUUUGCAUUAUUUCCUGUGUUAUGUUUUCACCUUGAACUUCACUACAGUCAAAAUUUGUUUAUCCGGGAACUUGCGUUUUCUCAAAUAUCUUCCAGAUAAAAAACAUUUCCAUAUACAUAGCUGAAUCCCUUGUCAACUGACCAGAGUUAACUCCCCUACCCAAAUUCUAUGGAGGCAAAGAUAUGCCUAGGAUUUUUAUAUUUUUGCAGUAAGAAAAAAGACAUUGUAUCCCUUUAGCGAAUUCAGGUAAACAAAAAAGUGAUAACAAACUUAAUGUUAACCAAUGAAAGUGUGAAAUUUGUAGUAAAACUUUGGAUUGUGCAUGUGGUUGCUGUAAAUAACCGUGACUUUGUGCAAUCUGCCCAUCUGUUCCCUGAAGUCAAUGUGAACAACAUUCAAUGAAAUUUUUAUUAAAAUAGAUUACAAACAGUCCAGAUAUAAAAUGAACACUUUUUCAAACCAUAUUGUGUAAUAACAGGAUUAAAUUAUACAAUACUCACUCUUUUGAUGUUGGUUGCCGGGUGAUGAAUUACAAAACAAACACAUUAUUCACUAUCCGGUUUUUGGGACACCCCUGUGUGUAUUUUGCACACUGUUGGUAAUUGAAAGUCAUUGGAAGAUUUCAGAAUAAAUGAAGCAUCUUAUGUAGUGUAUAUUUUGUUUCACAUAAAUAUCGUCUGGUAGGCGAGGUUUCCUGAUAUCUGGGUUCUGGUGAAACGGGGUUCCGCUCUAGUCACUUAUUUAGUGCUAAUAACAAAUAAAGACAAGACACCAGUUAAACAUAGAUUGCAAAUAUAUUUUAGUGAAACAAUUUUAGAACCAUUGCAUUGAUCUGUGGCAUGUUUACACACAAGGAUUGAGUUUGCAUUAUUUUACAAAUAUUCAGUUAGUCUUUAUUGUGAGGUGCAGCUGAUGACAAAUGUUU